AGUGAACGCUGGCGGUAGGCCUAACACAUGCAAGUCGAACGGCAGCACAGUAAGAGCUUGCUCUUACGGGUGGCGAGUGGCGGACGGGUGAGGAAUACAUCGGAAUCUACUUUUUCGUGGGGGGUAACGUAGGGAAACUUACGCUAAUACCGCAUACGACCUACGGGUGAAAGCAGGGGAUCUUCGGCCCUUGCGCGAUUGAAUGAGCCGAUGUCGGAUUAGCUAGUUGGCGGGGUAAAGGCCCACCAAGGCGACGAUCCGUAGCUGGUCUGAGAGGAUGAUCAGCCACACUGGAACUGAGACACGGUCCAGACUCCUACGGGAGGCAGCAGUGGGGAAUAUUGGACAAUGGGCGCAAGCCUGAUCCAGCCAUACCGCGUGGGUGAAGAAGGCCUUCGGGUUGUAAAGCCCUUUUGUUGGGAAAGAAAAGCAGCAGGUUAAUACCCCGCUGUUCUGACGGUACCCAAAGAAUAAGCACCGGCUAACUUCGUG
rnacentral:rRNA from 1 species